UCCUGCCGGACCUGACUGCUAUCGGAUUGAUACUAAGCCAUGCGAGUCUUUGUAGUAAUACAAGGCAGACGGCUCAGUAACACGUAGUCAACCUACCCUAUGGACAAGAAUAAUCUCGGGAAACUGGGCAUAAUUCUUGAUAGAUCAUAAUGCCUGGAAUGGUUUAUGAUUAAAAUGAUUCGUCGCCAUAGGAUGGGACUGCGGCCUAUCAGCUUGUUGGUGAGGUAAUGGCCCACCAAGGUGAUUACAGGUACGGGCUCUGAGAGGAGAAGCCCGGAGAUGGGUACUGAGACACGGACCCAGGCCCUAUGGGGCGCAGCAGGCGAGAAAACUUUGCAAUGUGCGAAAGCACGACAAGGUUAAUCCGAGUGAUUUCUGCUAAAGAAAUCUUUUGCCAGUCAUAAAACCACUGGUGAAUAAGGGGUGGGCAAGUUCUGGUGUCAGCCGCCGCGGUAAAACCAGCACCUCAAGUGGUCAGGAUGAUUAUUGGGCCUAAAGCAUCCGUAGCCGGCUUUGUAAGUUUUCGGUUAAAUCCAUGUGCUCAACGCAUGGGCUGCCGAAAAUACUGCAUGGCUAGGGAGUGGGAGAGGUAGACGGUACUCAGUAGGAAGGGGUAAAAUCCUUUGAUCUAUUGAUGACCACCUGUGGCGAAGGCGGUCUACCAGAACACGUUCGACGGUGAGGGAUGAAAGCUGGGGGAGCAAACCGGAUUAGAUACCCGGGUAGUCCCAGCUGUAAACGAUGCAGACUCGAUGAUGCAUUGGCAUAAUAGCCAGUGCAGUGUCGCAGGGAAGCCGUUAAGUCUGCCGCCUGGGAAGUACGUACGCAAGUAUGAAACUUAAAG
rnacentral:rRNA from 1 species